CCCUUAGACGUUCUGGGCCGCACGCGCGCUACACUGAUGAAUUCAACGAGCACUAACCUGUGCAGAAAUGUUCGGGUAAUCUUGUGAAAUUUCAUCGUGAUGGGGAUUGAUUAUUGCAAUUAUUAAUCAUAAACGAGGAAUGCCUAGUAAGCGUGAGUCAUCAGCUCACGUUGAUUACGUCCCUGCCCUUUGUACACACCGCCCGUCGCUCCUACCGAUUGAAUGUGCUGGUGAAAAGUUCGGAUUGGGAAUAGGAGACGGCAACGUAUCCUGUUUCUGAGAAAAUCUUUAAACCCUCCCAUUUAGAGGAAGGAGAAGUCGUAACA
rnacentral:rRNA from 1 species